rnacentral:rRNA from 1 species
UACGGAAGGCAGCAGUGGGGAAUAUUGCACAAUGGGCGAAAGCCUGAUGCAGCUAUGCCGCGUGUAUGAAGAAGGCCUUAGGGUUGUAAAGUACUUUCAUCGGGGAGGAAAAAACAAAACUAAUAAUUUUAUUUCUUGACGUUACCCGAAAAAGAAGCACCGGCUAACUCCGUGCCAGCAGCCGCGGUAAUACGGAGGGUGCUAGCGUUAAUCAGAAUUACUGGGCGUAAAGAGCACGUAGGUGGUUUUUUAAGUCAGAUGUGAAAUCCCUGGGCUUAACCUAGGAACUGCAUUUUGAAACUGAAAUACUAGAGUAUCGUAGAGGGAGGUAGAAUUCUAGGUGUAGCGGUGAAAUGCGUAGAUAUCUGGAGGAAUACCUGUGGCGAAAGCGGCCUCCUAAACGAAUACUGACACUGAGGUGCGAAAGCGUGGGGAGCAAACAGGGAUUAGAUACCCUCUGAACUCCAAGGCACAACAAGGGGAUAGG